GUUGUAGUCUGGAGAAGUGCUUUCCGCGCCGGACCGUGUAUAAGUCUCUUGGAAUAGAGCGUCAUAGAGGGUGAGAAUCCCGUCUUUGACACGGACUACCGGUGCUUUGUGAUGCGCUCUCAAAGAGUCGAGUUGUUUGGGAAUGCAGCUCAAAAUGGGUGGUAAAUUCCAUCUAAAGCUAAAUAUUGGCGAGAGACCGAUAGCGAACAAGUACCGUGAGGGAAAGAUGAAAAGCACUUUGGAAAGAGAGUUAAACAGUACGUGAAAUUGCUGAAAGGGAAACGCUUGAAGUCAGUCGCGUCGUGCAGAACUCAGCCUUGCAUUCGCUUGGUGCACUUUCUGUACGACGGGCCAGCAUCGAUUUUAAUCGUUGGAUAAGGGCUCGAGGAAUGUGGCACUCUUUAUGGGUGUGUUAAGCCUCGGGUCGCAUACAACGGUCGGGAUCGAGGAACGCAGCACUUGUGCUUAGGAUGCUGGCUUAAUGGCUUUAAACGACCCGUCUUGAAACACGGACCAAGGAGUCUAACAUGCCUGCGAGUGUUUGGGUGGUAAACCCGAGCGCGUAAUGAAAGUGAAAGUUGAGACCUCUGUCGUGGAGGGCAUCGACGCCCGGACCUGACGUUCUCUGACGGAUCCGCGGUAGAGCAUGUAUGUUGGGACCCGAAAGAUGGUGAACUAUGCCUGAAUAGGGUGAAGCCAGAGGAAACUCUGGUG
rnacentral:rRNA from 1 species